rnacentral:pre_miRNA from 1 species
CCUUGCGACGACGGGAUAUUGGGGCGGUUCAAUCAGAAAGCUUGUGCUCCGGAAGCGAGGAGCUCUACUCUUUUGAUUGAGCCGUGCCAAUAUCACGUCGCAUCCAUCAC